AAAUAUAAAGGAGAUAUCUAUAUAUGCAUUUUAUGCUAUAAUCAUGUAGGAUAUUAUUGUUUUAGGUUUGUUCCACAUCUGCAGAAUAAAUUGCAACAGUAGAAGUGCAACACAGGAAAGAGUUACAUGCUAUUCAGAUGGACAAUGAGCUCCAGUGAAAUAAAAAAAUAAAAUUGAGAUAUAUUAAUAAAAGAAAAAUAUAAAUUUUAUAAAAACAAAUGA
rnacentral:lncRNA from 1 species